AGAACGAACGCUGGCGGCAGGCUUAACACAUGCAAGUCGAGCGCCUCGCAAGAGGAGCGGCAGACGGGUGAGUAACGCGUGGGAAUCUACCCAUCCUUACGGAACAACUCCGGGAAACUGGAGCUAAUACCGUAUACGCCCUUCGGGGGAAAGAUUUAUCGAGGAUGGAUGAGCCCGCGUUGGAUUAGCUAGUUGGUGGGGUAAAGGCCUACCAAGGCGACGAUCCAUAGCUGGUCUGAGAGGAUGAUCAGCCACAUUGGGACUGAGACACGGCCCAAACUCCUACGGGAGGCAGCAGUGGGGAAUAUUGGACAAUGGGCGCAAGCCUGAUCCAGCCAUGCCGCGUGAGUGAUGAAGGCCCUAGGGUUGUAAAGCUCUUUCACCGGAGAAGAUAAUGACGGUAUCCGGAGAAGAAGCCCCGGCUAACUUCGUGCCAGCAGCCGC
rnacentral:rRNA from 1 species